GAUUAACGCUAGCGGCAGGCCUAAUACAUGCAAGUCGAACGGGAUUAGUUGUAGCAAUAUGACUAUGAGAGUGGCGCACGGGUGCGUAACACGUAUGCAACCUACCUAUAACUGGGGAAUAGCCUCCCGAAAGGGAGAUUAACACCGCAUAACAUUAUGAAGUGGCAUCACUUUAUAAUUAAAUCUACGGAGGUUAUAGAUGGGCAUGCGUCCGAUUAGCUAGUUGGGGUGAGGUAAUGGCUCACCAAGGCUCCGAUCGGUAGGGGGUCUGAGAGGAUGAUCCCCCACACUGGUACUGAGACACGGACCAGACUCCUACGGGAGGCAGCAGUAAGGAAUAUUGGACAAUGGGCGCCAAGCCUGAUCCAGCCAUGCCGCGUGAAGGAUGAAGGCCCUAUGGGUCGUAAACUUCUUUUAUACGGGAAAAAACCCCCACUCGGUGAGUGGGGUUGAUGGGUACUGUAAAGAAUAAAGGGGUCGGGCCUA
rnacentral:rRNA from 1 species